rnacentral:rRNA from 1 species
CGGUCCAGACUCCUACGGGAGGCAGCAGUGAGGAAUAUUGGGCAAUGGAGGCAACUCUGACCCAGCCAUGCCGCGUGAGUGAAGAAGGUUUUCGGAUUGUAAAGCUCUUUCGGAUGUGACGAUGAUGACGGUAGCAUCUAAAGAAGCCCCGGCUAACUUCGUGCCAGCAGCCGCGGUAAUACGAAGGGGGCGAGCGUUGUUCGGAAUUACUGGGCGUAAAGGGUGUGUAGGCGGUUAUGUAAGAUAGCGGUGAAAUCCCGGGGCUUAACCUCGGAAUAGCCGUUAUAACUAUGUAGCUAGAGUUAUGGAGAGGAUAGCGGAAUUCCCAGUGUAGCGGUGAAAUUCGUAGAUAUUGGGUAGAACACCGGUGGCGAAGGCGGCUAUCUGGCCAUAUACUGACGCUGAGGCACGAAAGCAUGGGGAUCAAACAGGAUUAGAUACCCUGGUAGUCCAUGCUGUAAACGAUGAAUGCUGGUUGUCGGCUUUAGGGUCGGUGACGAAGUUAACGCGAUAAGCAUUCCGCCUGGGGAGUACGGUCGCAAGAUUAAAACUCAAAGGAAUUGACGGGGACCCGCACAAGCGGUGGAGCAUGUGGUUUAAUUCGAUGCAACGCGAAGAACCUUACCAACUCUUGACAUCCUUAUCGGGGGGCGCAGAGAUGAGCCCUUUCAGUUAGGCUGGAUAAGUGACAGAUGCUGCAUGGCUGUCGUCAGCUCGUGUCGUGAGAUGUUGGGUUAAGUCCCGCAACGAGCGCAACCCCUGCUAUCAGUUGCCAGCGAGUAAAGUUGGGCACUCUGAUAGGACUGCCGGUGACAAGCCGGAGGAAGGUGGGGAUGACGUCAAGUCAUCAUGGCUCUUACGAGUUGGGCUACACACGUGCUACAAUGGUAAACAGAGGGGAG